GAUGAACGCUGGCGGCGUGCCUAAUACAUGCAAGUCGAGCGAACGGACGAGAAGCUUGCUUCUCUGAUGUUAGCAGCGGACGGGUGAGUAACACGUGGAUAACCUACCUAUAAGACUGGGAUAACUUCGGGAAACCGGAGCUAAUACCGGAUAAUAUUUUGAACCGCAUGGUUCAAAAGUGAAAGACGGUCUUGCUGUCACUUAUAGAUGGUUCCGCGCUGCAUUAGCUAGUUGGUAAGGUAACGGCUUACCAAGGCAACGAUGCAUAGCCGACCUGAGAGGGUGAUCGGCCACACUGGAACUGAGACACGGUCCAGACUCCUACGGGAGGCAGCAGUAGGGAAUCUUCCGCAAUGGGCGAAAGCCUGACGGAGCAACGCCGCGUGAGUGAUGAAGGUCUUCGGAUCGUAAAACUCUGUUAUUAGGGAAGAACAUAUGUGUAAGUAACUGUGCACAUCUUGACGGUACCUAAUCAGAAAGCCACGGCUAACUACGUG
rnacentral:rRNA from 1 species